rnacentral:tRNA from 1 species
AUUGCUUUAUUAUAUUGUUGUAUUAUACUGACUUUUCGUGUCAGAAAAGGUGUUUAUCACCAAGCAGUU